UUUUUGAGAUGACGAUUCUUAUCAGAGGCUGUUUAUGAGGUUGAGGUGAGCCAAGAGCUCUACCAGUGCUGCCAAAAAAAAAAAAAAAAGAACAAAGAAAGAAAGAUUUGCCGUUCUGAUCAAAAG